rnacentral:rRNA from 1 species
UACGUAGGGUGCAAGCGUUGUCCGGAAUUAUUGGGCGUAAAGAGCUCGUAGGCGGUUUGUCGCGUCGGCUGUGAAAACUCGGGGCUCAACCCCGAGCCUGCAGUCGAUACGGGCAGACUUGAGUACUGCAGGGGAGACUGGAAUUCCUGGUGUAGCGGUGGAAUGCGCAGAUAUCAGGAGGAACACCGGUGGCGAAGGCGAGUCUCUGGGCAGUAACUGACGCUGAGGAGCGAAAGCGUGGGGAGCGAACAGG